AACGAACGCUGGCGGCAGGCUUAACACAUGCAAGUCGAGCGCCCAGCAAUGGGAGCGGCGGACGGGUGAGUAACACGUGGGAAUAUGCCUUUCGGUACGGAACAACUCAGGGAAACUUGAGCUAAUGCCGUAUACGCCCUUACGGGGAAAGAUUUAUCGCCGAAAGAUUAGCCCGCGUCUGAUUAGCUUGUUGGUGAGGUAACGGCUCACCAAGGCGACGAUCAGUAGCUGGUUUGAGAGAACGACCAGCCACACUGGGACUGAGACACGGCCCAGACUCCUACGGGAGGCGGCAGUGGGGAAUCUUGGACAAUGGGGGAAACCCUGAUCCAGCCAUGCCGCGUGAGUGAUGAAGGCCUUCGGGUUGUAAAACUCUUUCGGCGGGGACGAUAAUGACGGUACCCGCAGAAGAAGCUCCGGCUAACUUCGUGCCAGCCGCCGCCGUAAAAC
rnacentral:rRNA from 1 species